AUGAGGAGUCAGGGCUUCCACCUGGGGCAAGGAUCAAGCACAGCUCGAUGGAGCAGUGUAGGCGCUAAUGUGUGGGUGCAGGUGCGACUGAAAAAAAAUGAGACCAUAGGUAUAAAUUCAGCCAGUGCUGCUCAGAUAUCUGCUUACAUAUCCUUACUGAAGAGCUCCAUCAAAUUUGCUAGUUGUGUGAGGAUGGGUUGUUGUUGUUAUAGUGUUCAGGAUGAGAGCACAACAUUAUUUCAUAAGCCAGCUUGGCAGCCUGAGGUAAAGGAGAGCGCUCUUCAGCCAGCAAGAGGAUAACCCUGAUUUCAGGCAUAGAGUCAUUUCCAGAAAGCAUACUAAACAUAUGCAUGGAGAAAAAAGGAGUCAUCUGUGGUGCCAGGGAAGGCUUCACAUUAUGUGCUGAGCAAUACUCAGUUAAUGAUGAUUCUGAUGUUUUUGCGUGAUUCCUCCCAUAUUAAUAAAAAACAGCUAUUCAAAG
rnacentral:lncRNA from 1 species